rnacentral:rRNA from 2 species
GAAGUUUUCAGAGAUGAGAAUGUGCCUUCGGGAACCGUGAGACAGGUGCUGCAUGGCUGUCGUCAGCUCGUGUUGUGAAAUGUUGGGUUAAGUCCCGCAACGAGCGCAACCCUUAUCCUUUGUUGCCAGCGAUUAGGUCGGGAACUCAAAGGAGACUGCCAGUGAUAAACUGGAGGAAGGUGGGGAUGACGUCAAGUCAUCAUGGCCCUUACGACCAGGGCUACACACGUGCUACAAUGGCGCAUACAAAGAGAAGCGACCUCGCGAGAGCAAGCGGACCUCAUAAAGUGCGUCGUAGUCCGGAUUGGAGUCUGCAACUCGACUCCAUGAAGUCGGAAUCGCUAGUAAUCGUGGAUCAGAAUGCCACGGUGAAUACGUUCCCGGGCCUUGUACACACCGCCCGUCACACCAUGGGAGUGGGUUGCAAAAGAAGUAGGUAGCUUAACCUUCGGGAGGGCGCUUACCACUUUGUGAUUCAUGACUGGGGUGAAGUCGUAACAAGGUAACCGUAGGGGAACCUGCGGUUGGAUCACCUCCUUACCUGAAAGAAGC